rnacentral:rRNA from 1 species
CACACCGCCCGUCACACCAUGGGAGUCAGUUGCUCCAGAAAUGGCCGUGCUAACCCGCAAGGGAGGUAGGCCCUUAAGGAGUGACUGGUGACUGGGGUG